rnacentral:lncRNA from 1 species
UCAGCUGAAUUUCUCAGAGCCGCUGUCCGGAGAAGCUUCUAAAAACUGUGAUGUUGCUUUUUUUUUUGGUUUUUAGAAUUUCAGCUUGUUACAGGAAAAGUCCACAAUGCCCUUUGAUUCAUUGGGUCAUACUAAUUGAUAAUAUCAAUGUUGUCUACUGUUAAAUCACAGUUUCACAUUGUUCUACUCAGAACAUGGCACAACAAACAAGCAAUUCUUCCAUUUAACAGCAAAAAUUUGUUCGAUCCAACCAAAAUUAUUGCACUAACCAACAACAAAUAAAAAACAACAGAUUGAGCUUCCGCCUGGGCAAGCUAGUCCGGCAGGAAAAGGCAACAGAGGUGGGGAGCGGGAAGACGGCGGGUCAUGAUGGGUCGACCGGCGGUGAGGGAGGAUAGGGAGAUGGCGUCGUGCUCCUGCUGGCCGGCGACGAGCCACUGGAUCCGGCGCCGACAGGGGGACGGUGGCGGGCUGCAAGCCUAGAGCCUAGACGGGGAGAUGUGGGAGAGACGAGGGGGCGAAGAUGGGCCAGAUGGAGCAGAGGGCGGCGCGAACGGAGGAGAUGGGGAGGGCGGCGUGGACGGAGGACGUGGGGAGGGAGGCGGCCACCAGAGGAGGGCGGGGGAUCCGGCAGAGGCGGGAGGUGGGAAAGGGAGGGGAGGAGACGCUAGGGGCGCAGCCGGCCUGGCAGCGGUGAGCAUGGAUCGGGAGGAGAGCUCGAGAUCCAAAUCAGGGG